rnacentral:sRNA from 1 species
AUUUGAAUUUUUUCUUAGGAUAGAUUCCUAAACAUGGAAGUAUUGAGUCAAAGAGUAUAAAUGUGCUUUAAAAAAAAAAAUGCUCUUAAUACAUUUUGCAGAAUUCUUCAAGCAAGGUUGUCACACUCAGGUUUAAGGCAGGUAUAACUACCCAUGUGCAGGCCAGCCCAGGAGCCAGUGUGGUGGGGAGAGGCCAUAGCCAGCCAUUGCUGGUUCCCUCAGCCAGCAGAGGCACACAUGAGCUUCUCACCAGCCCGGUGAGGGUCUCCUCUUGGGAGGUGUGCAUUUUUGCAUGCACUCUGGCCUCUGCACACAAACUGAAUAUUUCAUCUGGUGCUCAACCACAAGCACAGCCAUCUGUUCCGUGUUGGAACAGAUGUGUUGGACUGUGUUGGCUGUGUUGGACUGUGUUGGCUGUGUUGGACUUUGUGAGAGAUCCUGUGUCAGUCUCCAUCAGGAUGUGUAUGUAGUGUACUGGACUCUCUAGGUGAUUGAAAGGAUUCCAGAGAUAAUUUUGAUUAUAUGAGUCCCUGACUUCAGACUCCACUCUUGUGACCACCACACAAGGUGUGACUCCAGGAGGCUGGGAUGCCAUGCUAUUUUCACUGUACCCUUGCCCCCGUAAUCUCAAAGCCUGACUGGAUGGAACCCUUUCUAUUCUAUGGCUAGUGGCUUGUGAUAAAUGUCCUUUCAGGUCAACACAGUGCAGGCUGCUAUCUUUACCUUUCUUUCACCGAAGUUAAGUGCUGCACCAGAACUUAGAAGCCUCAUGGGGCUCUGGGGCCUCAGGCUGUACCUUGUGCUAUGUCAGCUAUUACUUCAUGUCAAACAUUUGCAUAUGAAUGUUCAAGUGACAGCUUAUCUCUUUCUUCCUGCAGUUGGUUACCACAGAGAAGCGCUUCCUCAAAGACAGUUUGUACAAUGAAGGAAUCCUAAUUGUAUGGGACCCAUCUGUAUACCACUCAGAUAUCCCAAAGAUGGGGAAAUUGAAAUGUGGAGAAUGAAAGUCCCCCAUUCCAGGACUUGAUUUACUAAGCAGAAGGCGCAGAUCUGCAACAGCAGCUCUUUCCGGGGAAGGAGACAUGAGUGGCAGGCCUGCUGGAUUCUAACCUCUCUGGAAUAGUCCUCUCACUGUUAAUGCAUGUCAGUUGACCUCUCCCUGAUGUAGGCUGCUGUGGCCUCAGGAGCAUGGCCUGAGAAGGGCAGAGAGCACUAAUCUUGGGACACUUAACUCUGAAGUUGGAUCUACCAAUGCCUGACAGGCUCUGGCGACCCCUGGCACGCUCACUAUCUGACUUUCAACAGUUUUGCACUGAUCUCACUUAGAACUCAAAUUUGCCUAGGUCAGGACAAGGACUCUGAACCCAUAGAUGUCCUAUGCUCUAGUUUUCUCCCCUUUAAAAAUGAGAGAUGGGGCCAGAUGGUACGUGGGGCUCUUUUCAGCUCUGAUAGUGUUCCCGGACUCUGAUCCUGAAGCCUGAAGCUGAUCUUGGGUCGCCAAGCUCAACUCUCCCCCAAAGCACAGGCUAUAGGCUAGGCCCCACCCUGCUAUCCAGUGAAACCUGCAGCUGGAAGAGAAGCCUGUAGUCUGCUGCAAGAAAAGGGCUGUGCCUCAGGAGCAACACUUGUUGAUCCUUUCCCCUCCCCAUGUCCACUGAUGAAGAUGACUCCUGGGGGGAGCAGCUCACUGGCCCAUUUCUCCCUUGAGAGGACCACUUCUUUCUUUUUCAGUGGUACCAGAAUCCGGAUUAUAAUUUCUUUAAUAACUACAAGACUUAUCGUAAGCUGCACCCCAAUCAGCCCUUUUACAUCCUCAAGCCCCAGAUGCCUUGGGAGCUAUGGGACAUUCUUCAAGAAAUCUCCCCAGAAGAGAUUCAGCCAAACCCCCCAUCCUCUGGGAUGCUUGGUAUCAUCAUCAUGAUGACGCUGUGUGACCAGCUGGAUAUUUAUGAGUUCCUCCCAUCCAAGCGCAAGACUGACGUGUGCUACUACUACCAGAAGUUCUUCGAUAGUGCCUGCACGAUGGGUGCCUACCACCCGCUGCUCUAUGAGAAGAAUUUGGUGAAGCAUCUCAACCAGGGCACAGAUGAGGACAUCUACCUGCUUGGAAAAGCCACACUGCCUGGCUUCCGGACCAUUCACUGCUAAGCACAGGCUCCUCACUCUUCUCCAUCAGGCAUUAAAUGAAUGGUCUCUUGGCCACCCCAGCCUGGGAAGAACAUUUUCCUGAACAGUUCCAGCCUGCUCCUUUUACUCUAGGGGCCUCUGUCAGCAAGACCACGGGGGCUUCAAGAGCCUGUGGUCAGGAAAUCAGGUCCAGCCUUCCCUGUAGCCAGGCAGUUUAUGAGCCCAGAGCCUCCUGCCACACACAUGCACACAUAUCUAGCAUUCCUUCCAGACAGCAUCCUCCCCACCUUCCACCUGAGUAGAUGCAAGGUCUAUCUCUCCCAUCAGGGCUGCCAAAGCUGGGCUUUGUUUUUCCCAACAGAAUGAUGCCAUUCUCACAAACCAAUGCUCUAUAUUGCUUGAAGUCUGCAUCUAAAUAUUGAUUUCACGUUUUAAAGAAAUUCUCUUAAAUUACAAUUGUGCCCAAUGCCAGGUGGCUCUGGGGGGCAAGUAGGUGGUACAGGGGAUUGGAAACAUGCUCCGCGCCUCCAGAAAAAAGUUGCUCCCGAGGUCCAUGCCCCUGGAAUGUGUUCCUAUCACUCUGGCUGGUUGGGCUGGUCCUUAGACUGGGUGCUUAUGAUUAAAGGGUCUUGGUUAGCCCACUUUCCCUCUCCAUGUGGAGAUGGAAGGUAGAGAAGGAUACAGUGUCUAUCCUCAAGUUGCUACGGUUCAGUGAGAGAGGCAGACAUCUGAACAGGCAGGUAGGAUUCAGUGUGCUCAGUGCACUGGGGAUUUGGAGAGAGAUGGGCUUGCUCUCUCUGUGCACCCAGGAGGGCCACACACUUAAAACUGUGUUUGUGGAUCAGAGAAGGCUUUAUAGCACAGGGGGCAUUCAGAUGAGUCUUAGAGGAAGAGAAGAAACAUGGCAAGCAGAUUACAUCUGAGCCGUUUGAAUUGUGUUUUUCUUUCUUCCCAUGUUUUUUUUUCUAAGAUCUACCUGAACUUAGAGACUCAAGAUAUUUUUUUAGGAAACCUCCUACCCAUGUCUGAGGUAGCAAGUGCAGCCUCACGACAGAUACCAGGCAAUCCAGAGCCACAAAACCUGAUUCCUCCAGGCUCUGCCUGGCCUGACCCUGUCCUGUCAGCUGGGUUUACAUAUCAGUCCCAUUCUUCCUUUUCAAUACCUACCCCCAAAUCUUCUCCUAACCACCAUCUGUUUUUUUUUUUUUUAAAGCAUUUUUUGCUUUAAAAGCAUCCUGACCCCAAUUUCUUUGAGCUCACGGGCCUUUUGCCGAAGGUCUCUCAGGGUGUAGUGGUGUGGCUCUCUGGACUUACGUCACUCUCAGAGGUCAGAACCUUGGAGAUCAGAACUGAUUCUCACCAGGUGUGAGAGGUGUGGUAGCAGAUUGCAAUGCUCUGCACCUCUUCCUUGCAAGUGAGCAACUUCAGGCUCUCUGGGCAGAGGCUGGCCCACUGUAGUUUGCAGACAUGCUCUCCAGAUGGUUUUACUAAGUCCCCUCUCCCUGAUAGGGAAUCCUGCUGGACCAGCGCAGCCCUGGUGUGGAGAGGUUAAAAGACUUGCACAGGAUCACCAAGUCAUGCUGUAGAGCCAGGGUUCCUAGACCCAGGGCUCUGCACUCUCAAGGUUGGCCCCAUGUGCUCAAGGGGAUCUAAUGUUUGGGCUCCAAACCAACCAUCUCGGAGCUGGGCUCCUCAUUUACUGCCAAACCCUCAGCUUAUGUAGCUAGAAAGGGCCCUGGAGUGAGAAAGCCUGGAUUUUCAAAUUGAUGCUCCCCUACUGACUAGCUGUGCCACUCUGGGCAAAUGCUCUUCCUUGAGCCUGUUUCCACACCUGUAAAGUGGGGAUGAUGAUCCUAUCUCACUGCUUUUGUGAGGAUUACAGGAAAGCACCUGUCCUGGCUCUGUACCUGGCACGUAGUAGGUGCUUAGUUCAUGCUGGUUUCCUUCCUGCCUUCAGUAGGGACCUGCUCUGUGCUCACACCUCGGCUGCACGCACCCUGCUGUGACAGAGGCUAGUGUGGAAGAGGUCCUGUCCUCAGGGAAUUAACUGUCUUAUUGGGAGACAACAACUAUCCUCCUUGGAACACCCAAGAAACCAUGCAAAGCAGUGGACAACACAGAACACACCCUCCUCCUCGCUGCCUGCAGCUCCAAUCUGAUUCUGCUUGGGAAUGGGCGGAGCACGUGGGCUGCUUAACUGCUGUAUAGGACAAGCCCCUUACCCCUCUCUGGGCCCAUGAAUUCCUGGCUUGGUUUAUGUUCUGAUUUGACACACUGAUUUUAAUCUUCGAAUCAUGACACUGAGUGCCGAGGAGGUGGCAUUCCGACAGCAGGACAUACAUGUUGGUGUGAAGACUGGGACGACACUGGGUAGAAUCUAGUUUUUAAUUAUUAUUAAUAUAAAGGAUCAAAUUAAUUUAAAUAUGAUUCUGAAGUCUACAGAACUUUUAGUUCUGUGCUGUCUAUGUGGACACUUUGGUAAAAUGCAAAUUAUGAUAUGGACGUUAUCAUUGGUCUGGUGAGAUGUUUCAUAUUUGUGACAGUUAAUUUAAAAAUUAUGACUUAAUGCUGCCUGUGUCUAUGGGGUUCUGUCUUCCUUGAUAGCCAUCUAUUCAUCUGGAUCAUGGGACCCUCUCUAAUCCUUCCACCAAUCAAAUAAGCUAUUGCUAUUGGUUUGGAGUUGAGAUAUCAGUCUCGGAAACUUCUGAAAAAUGCCUAAUUUUUCAGAAAAUUCUGAAAAAUGCUAAUAAUUACCCAAGGAUUAUGUCAAAUUUUAAAAUAAAUGUGUGUGUGUUUCUUU